rnacentral:tRNA from 1 species
GGACAGGUAGCUCAGUGGUAGAGCUUUCGGCUGCAGUGAGUUGAUUCAUACAUCCGAAUGGUCAUGGGUUCAAUUCCCAUUCUGGCCU